rnacentral:rRNA from 1 species
AUUGAACGCUGGCGGCAGGCCUAACACAUGCAAGUCGAGCGAGCGGCGGACGGGUGAGUAAUGUCUGGGAAUUGCCCAGUCGAGGGGGAUAACAGUUGGAAACGACUGCUAAUACUGCAUACGAUUGGAUUGCCCAGGUGGGAUUAGCUAGUUGGGGAGUUACUGGCUCACCAAGGCGACGAUCCCUAGCUGGGCUGAGAGGAUGAUCAGCCAAACUGGAACGGAGACACGGUCCAGACUCCUACGUGAGGCAGCAGGGGGGAAGAUUGCACAAAGGGGGAAACCCUGAUGCAGGCAUGCCGCGUGUAGGAAGAAGGCCAUCGGUUUGUAAACCACUUUCAGCGGGGAGGCGUUACUCGCAGAAGAAGCACCGGCUAACUCCGUGCCAGCAGCCGCGGUAAUAC